GUAGAAAGCUCCGUCACCGUCCUAGAAAGCUGUGUUGCUGUUGGAGAAAGAUCCAUCGCCGUCGCGUGGAAGCUCUGUGGCCAUCACCAUAUCCCUUGUUCAAGCGCUCUCUCUCUCUGUUUGCCGGUGUGGCCGUGUCCUUCGUCGUCGCCGUCACUCCCCUUCCUCCUCGCCGCCGGGAAGCAGGUUGGUGGCAUAAAGGUGUUCUCCUCUAGUCGCGAACGUCUACGCAGGCGUGGUAUCAUCACCGUCGCGAUCUUCUAUAGUCGCCCUUCUUGUUGUCGUGGUCACACCUGUUCCGUUUAUCACCUCCGUGCGUACGAGUCUGCUGCUCGUCCGGGCUCCGUUCCCUGGUUGGGUUGAGGAUGGAGGGAAGAAAUGGUUUGUCUGGUGGUUGCAAGGAAGUUGGGAAUGCAAGCAAUGGAUCAAUUUGCAAAAAUGAUAGCACAGAGAAUGGUUGUGAUAGUGAAGCUCGUCAGCCCAGUUUGGAUAAUGAUGCAUCAGAUUAUGGAGACGUUAUAGGUCUCACAGCAAGAGAUAUAUGUAAGAAGGUCUUUCGGAGUGAGGAACGUGCUUAUGAUUUCUUCGCAAAACUUGGAAAAUGUCUUGGGUUUGGGGUUCGAAAGGGUGACUACGGGAAAGAUGAGGAGGGGAAUUUGAUAAGGCGAAGAUUCUUUUGCAACAAGGCUGGAUUAAGGGACCAAAAGCAUUACAACCGAGUGGAUAGAAAAAAGAUCACAUCGUCCAGAAAUGUGCACGAAUUGCAAGGCAAUGCUGUCAGUAUAUCUUGAUUGGGUAUCUUGCACCUGGAAGGUAAGAAAGGUGAACCUGGAACAUAAUCACCCACUGACGCCCAGGAUAAUGGUACACAUGAUUCCUGGAUUUCGUCGUAUGUCAGAUUCUGCCAAAGCACACAUAGAUGGGAUGCAGCGGUACGACUUACCAACUUCAAAGAUACUGGGGUACAUGGCAGGAAUUUCUGGGGGGCAUUCUCUCCUUGGAUUCACCAAAAAUGAUGCUUACAAUUACAUCGAGAAGAGCAAACGCGAUAAGAUUAUGGAUGGUGACACUAAUGCAGCUGUCAUAUACCUUGAGGGAAAGGCCACAGCCGAUCCGAUGUCGAUGGCAAGGUACAACCUCACCGAUGAUGGUAUGUUGGCGAACCUGUUCUGGGCUUAUGGAGCGAGUCGAGUUGAUUACCAAUAUUUUGGUGACGUCCUUUCGUUUGACUCAACCUACAAGAAAAACAAAUAUAAGAGGCCGUUGGUCAUAUUCUCUGGCACGAAUAACCAUAAACAAACAACAAUCUUUGGCUUUGGUCUUGUUUUGGAUGAGAACAUACCUUCUUACACGUGGAUGCUCGAGAGCCUGGUUGAAGUAAUGUGUGGCAAGACACCGUCUGUAGUUGUUACAGACGGAGAUGAUGCCAUGAUUGCAGCUGUGCGAAAAGUUUUCCCACGAGCAACUCAUAGGCUGUGUGCGUGGCACCUACAAAGAAAUGUAACCUCGAACUCAAACGAAGAAAUGUUUCGGGAUGUGUUUGCAAAGUGGUUAUAUGCUGACAUGAAAAUUGCUGACUUUGAGGCUGAGUGGGCUCAGGCAGUGAUAGACUUUGAAUUGGGUGACAAGUUAUGGGCUUCCCAGAUCUACGAAAAGCGGGAGAUAUGGGCCAAUUCAUAUCUGCGGAACAAGUUUUGUGCUGGCUUUUGGACGACAUCUAGGUGCGAGGGAAUCAACGCUAAUGUAAAAAAAUUCCUCACUUCUAGGUACAGCAUUCUAGAACUUGUUCAGAAUCUCGAGUUGCUUGUUCGGGAGUACCAAAACAAUGAGCUUCUUGCAAAGUUUAAUACAUUAUAUGGCAUGCCGGUCAUCACAAGUUGCUUGGAUUCCAUUGAAAGAUCUGCUGCAAAAGUGUAUACCUAAGCUGUAUUCAACGAGGUUAGAAAAGAGAUAGAUCGGGUGGGCACAGUUAACUUUGUUAGUCGAAAGAGGGUCUCCACAACAAUGUUGUAUAUCACAGAAGACUACGGUAACCCGGGAAGACGAGUUAUGAUGCUAUUCGAGAAUAAUGUGGUUAAGUUAGAAUGUCGUUGUCGGUUAUGGGAAUGAGUGGAGUACCCUUGUAGGUACAUGUUUUUCGUUAUGAAGCACGAGCAUUUGUAUGCUAUUCCCGAUCGCUUGAUAAUUAAAAGAUGGAGACAAGAUGCCAAGGACAUCGGACAGUAUGUUGAUGACAUCGAAGAGGAAUCCGAGAGGGGCUUUUUGCUGAGGCAUGGUGCCCUUUAUGCAGCUUCUCAGUGGAUGCUUUUCGUCGGUGCCAAGAAGCAAGAGCUGUUUAGAGUUGCAUUGAAUGGGAUUAGAAACGUUUGCAGGGACCUGGAAAAUGGGAAUGCUAAACCCACAGAUGGUGCUUCGAAGAGGGUUGAUGUCGGCAUUAGAGACCCUGUGGUUGUUAGAACGAAAGGAGCACCUUCUUCGAAGAAGUUAAAGUCGAAGAAAAGAAGGUGUACUACUUGUAGAAAAACAGGGCACACUAAAAGGAGGUGUACAGUUAGCAGGAGGUCCUUUAAUGAAACAGAUGCCACGAAAGGUGCUGAUAUAUCCAACACAGACCGUGCGGAGGUUAAGAAUGUUGAGGCGGACUGCAAGAAAGGAGUAACUAUAGCAGGUGUUGAUGUCGAUGUAUUGGAGGAACAUCUGAGUGGUGACAAAAAAUGUGACGGUGAUCGGAUAGUUUGCACAGCUCAAAGCCAGAACAUGCAAGAGUUAGGCGAUCAGAAUGAACUUGACUGGGAAACAAAGGUCAUGGAUAUUUUGAGGAAGCUGAAUCCAAGAACGGAAGCCAAGUCUUGAUGCAUGGGGGAGGUGUGUGAUUGCAA